rnacentral:lncRNA from 1 species
AGAGACGGGUAGAGGGCAAACUCCACUAAACCCGUUUCAGUGUGUGGAAUCACUCGGGAGUUUCUGGAAGACGGCGAUUAUUGGAGGAUUUAUUUUAGUCUGGCCAGCACCGGACACAUGCAGCAGUGUUAUACCUCUCUUUUGGAUGAGGGUGACAUAUGGCUGGUGGACAUGGGAUCCAGAGUGACAGCUUCCUGUUUACAAGCUGCCCAGAGACUUCUGUAGUAGCAGGGGGUGUGUUAGAGAGACACUGCUUGGGCUGUUUUGAAGAGAACAGGGGACCUUGGGUACGACACAAUCUUGUUCCUUUUGGAUCUGGAGCAGAUCGAUAUGUCAGCCAUAACUCCGUUCUACCGCACCCGUGCGUAGAUGGACAAUGGAGGAUCCAUUGUUUUAUAACCCACUUAUCUGGACCAGAGUCCUGGCCUCUACCACCUUUGUGGGCCAGGCUUGUAAGAGUUGAGUUCACUAAGUUGGGUGACCUGCAAGAAGAGGCUUGGUGGAAAUCUGCCAGCAACAUGGUGGAGGUUUUCUCCAUAAAGUCCACCAGGCUGCUGCAGCAGGUGGUGGAAGGGGUCCGUGCUGCACCACCGAGAGCUGCUGCGGAGUAGGCGGUCCGAGGAGCCACCACGCCGGACACCGAGUGACCGACCACUUACCUGAGAGGCCUAUCAGUUGUAUUUGUCCCAUACCCGAUCCCCCAACGUUCAUGAAAGAACAACUUUUGUUUGAGCACCAGAAAUCGGUCUCCCACUGUCUUAUUUUAUUGUCUUGUCUCAUUGCUGCAACUCCCCAACGGGCUCGGGAGAGGUGAACGUCGAGUCUUGUGUCCCCCGAAACAUGACCUGCCUAACCGCACUUCUUAACACGUGCCCGCUUAAACUACACCAAUGUGUGAGAGGAAACACUGUGCAACUGACGAACAUAGUCAGCCUGCAGAAACCCAGCCUGCCACAAGGAGACGCAAGAGUGCGAUGAGCCAAGUAAAAACCUCCCUGGCUAAACAUUCCCCUAACCCAGACGACGCUUGCUCAAUUGUGCAUCGCCCUGUGGGACUCCCGGUCAAGGCCGGUUGUGACAUUGGCUGGGAUUGAACACAG